rnacentral:rRNA from 1 species
CGGGUCGCAGCAGCUGUGAGGAAUAUUGCACAAUGGGGGGAACCCUGAUGCAGCAACGCCGCGUGGAGGAUGACGCAUUUCGGUGUGUAAACUCCUUUUAUAUGUCAAGAAAAUGACGGUAGCAUAUGAAUAAGCACCGGCUAACUCCGUGCCAGCAGCCGCGGUAAUACGGAGGGUGCAAGCGUUACUCGGAAUCACUGGGCGUAAAGGACGCGUAGGCGGGUUGGAAAGUCAGGUGUGAAAUCCUACAGCUUAACUGUAGAACUGCACUUGAAACUUCUAAUCUAGAGUAUGGGAGGGGGAGAUGGAAUUAGUGGUGUAGGGGUAAAAUCCGUAGAUAUCACUAGGAAUACCUAAAGCGAAGGCGAUCUCCUGGAACAUUACUGACGCUAAGACGCGAAAGCGUGGGGAGCAAACAGGAUUAGAUACCCCUGUAGUC